rnacentral:rRNA from 1 species
UACGUAGGGUGCAAGCGUUGUCCGGAAUUAUUGGGCGUAAAGAGCGUGUAGGCGGCCCGACCAGUCCGCUGUGAAAGUCCAGGGCUCAACCCUGGGAUGCCGGUGGAUACUGUCGGACUAGAGUACGGAAGAGGCGAGUGGAAUUCCCGGUGUAGCGGUGAAAUGCGCAGAUAUCGGGAGGAACACCAAUUGCGAAGGCAGCUCGCUGGGACGUUACUGACGCUGAGACGCGAAAGCGUGGGGAGCAAACAGG